rnacentral:rRNA from 1 species
GAUGAACGCUGGCGGCGUGCCUAAUACAUGCAAGUCGAGCGAACAGACGAGGAGCUUGCUCCUCUGACGUUAGCGGCGGACGGGUGAGUAACACGUGGAUAACCUACCUAUAAGACUGGGAUAACUUCGGGAAACCGGAGCUAAUACCGGAUAAUAUAUUGAACCGCAUGGUUCAAUAGUGAAAGACGGUUUUGCUGUCACUUAUAGAUGGUUCCGCGCCGCAUUAGCUAGUUGGUAAGGUAACGGCUUACCAAGGCAACGAUGCGUAGCCGACCCGAGAGGGUGAUCGGCCACACUGGAACUGAGACACGGUCCAGACUCCUACGGGAGGCGGCAGUAGGGAAUCUUCCGGAAUGGGCUAAAGCCUAACGGAGCAACGCGGCGUGAGUGAUGAAGGUCUUCGGAGCGUAAAAAGCUGUUAUUAGGGAAGAACAAAUGUGUAAGUAACUAUGCACGACUUGACGGUACCUAAUCAGAAAGCCACGGCUAACUACGUG